AUACUUAGUUGGCAGGAAAAUACUAUGAUCAUGAAGGUGGUUUCCCCAGGGUAACGCUCACCCAUUGCAUUCCUGGUGUGCUGAUCCCUGGAAUUUCCCCAAAUGUUGGAAAUUCAACUGCAUAGUUUGUGGUAGUGGGGGAAUGCGUUCGUGCUUAUA